UAAAUUUUUUUUAGUUAGAUAACAAAUGGUGUUUGUGGAUGGUCCUUUAAGACUCACCACAUUUACUAUUAAAAAUGUAAAGAUUACAUGAAUGAUUAGAUUGAUUAUGAUUAAAUUAUUUUGCAUAACUCUGUUACAUAUGACUAAACAAGAGAAAAAUUACCUAUGAUAAAUGUUUAUUCAAUCAACGACAGUAAAACCCUGAUAAAUUUAGAAGUAAACAUAUUUCAGAAAAGUCUUUGUCCUACCAGGUAAUGAUCAUGAUGAUUGCGAUGAUGAUAUGAUAUACGUGAUAAUGAUGAGCAUAUGUAAUUUAGAUGAUGAUCAUCAUAUCAUGAUGUUGGUUCACUUUCAGUUUUUUAUAGAAAUUUAUAUUAUCACAAAUUUGCAUAUUUAAAUUCAGAAACUGACACUCCACAGUAACUGAAAAAAAAGAAAGUUGUAAAUAAUAAAAAUAGACACUUGCUCCCGCCCGUGCUAUUACUACUUUAACAUUUUUAUGUAUUGAAAAUUUGACUUCUUCAAAUCAUUUAAAGUUAAAUAACUUUUUAAACCAAGGCUCUGCUUCUGAAGUUUUAGAAAAGGAUGUAUUUUUACACUUUUUUCAUUAGAAUAUUCUUUUUUCUUUUCGUAACUGAAUUUCAAUAUGUUCUGAAACAAUCUUUUAGUUUAUGUAAAUAGGACACAAAUUCGUAUCAAAUUUUAUCAAGUUAAAUUAAUGGACGUACUUUUUUCGAAAGCAAUGAGUUAGACAACUGAUGGGAUAGAGACCCAUCCACUUCUAUGGUAUUGUAUUUUAUUGACUAGAAAGGUUUUUUUCAUGAAGAAUUUAUUUAAAAGAGUGCUUUAUAAAGUGACAAUGUCUUAAUUUAUUUUUAGCGCUUAAAUUCUAAAAAAUGUGCUUUGAUUAAAUAAAAAUGAAAAUAUUUUGUUGUUGCCUAUUGAGAUGAUAACAACUUAGUUGUGUGCUAAACAGUUGCUGGAUGAGUUAAAGCUCUCAUAGCUUCCUAAAUCAGUAUUGCAUCAUCAGUUGCAUCUAAUGCUAAAAUUGAAGCACACAGUAAGCAUUAGUAAACUUAAUUUAACUGUUUCAUUGUUGUUAAUUUUUUGUUUUUUUUAGUUUUUGGGGUCUUGACAUCUAAUGGAUGUUUAUCUGUGAGAUGGUUUCUUGCGAAUGUGAGCAAAAAAACACUUCAUUGCAUUGGUUAAUAGUAAUCUCGCAAUUUACUCUUGGAGUUAUUUUUAUAUAAUUUUUUUUUUCGAUAAUAAUAUGAACUUGUCUUAUCUUUAAAUAUUGUUUUAAAUUUUAUAUCUAGUGUAUUAAAUACAAUAGGGUUGAGGUGCAAAAUUUUUUUAAAAAAGAUGUUUUUUUAAUUA